UGUGUAUGGCGGUUUUUUUAAUUUUUAAUUUUCGAGUUAAGAUUUUUCGCCUCGACUUGGCGGCGGCGUAGUCCUAGUCGUAAUUAUUGUUUAUUGCCGUCGUUAUUAUUAUAUCGCGUUGUGUUUGCAUUUACGGUCGAAAUAAUAUUAUGUUGUACUAUGGUAAAAAUAAAUGAUCGUCAUACCGCAAAACAGCGGCCCGACAGUCAUUAACGAUCGUAAUUUGCAACGGCACCGCAAAUUCAGGAUAAAAAGGCCGGUUGUAUGCAUGCACACAAUAUAAUUCACCUUGGAGUUUUAAAAUGUAAAUGAACUCGACGCGUAAUCAGCCGCGAUCGAUGGCCAGCGGUUAAGUUACGACUCUAUGGUUUCUACGGUUUCAGCGUGGGCGUAUGACAUCUUGCUUCUUUCCUUAAUUAUGGUCCAGUCGUCGAGGGAUGCGGAUGUCCUUGAAUUUCAGUAUUUAUUAAUAGGACAAAGUUAUCUAAUAUAUAAAUAUAUAUCCUAUAGUAUUUAGGUACCGUGGUCGCAGGAAUACAAUUUGAUCGGUUAUUUCUUUUUUGAAACGUUGACCGAUCGUCGUAUACAAAAGUGGUUUUCAAUGUAUCGAUAUAGGUACUACACCUAACAUAAUAAUAUACAUAGUUAGGCAUAUUUGGAAUUUUUACAUUAUAUUUAUAUGGCGCCGCGAUGAUUUCAAAAUAAUCAUUUGAUUGAUUACAAUUACACUAUUUAGUAUCUACAGUUACGCAUGUAAUAAUACAUGCGCACAUGAUAUGAUUCUGAAUCAUAUUAUUAUAGAUGCAUAGUGAUAACUACGCAUCUCUCAAGAAUAACAGUGCGUAUAAUAUUGAUAAUUAUAUCAUAUUAUGUUAAUUUCAAAUUAUGGGUGAUGAAAUUUCGAAUCAAAAAUAAAGGUUAUCGCUUGUUGCUUCCAUUAUUGUUUAGACUUUGGCUGAUUUUAUUAAUAUACAUUAUAAUAUACGGUAGGUAGGCCAACAAGUUUUUUCAACACGAUAGAAACGAAACGUGAUAAAAUUAAAAUAUAUUUAAAAUAAAUUAUAUAUUCAUAUAAAACCAUAUGAUAUUUAUUUAU